rnacentral:lncRNA from 1 species
GCCCUCUGAUGAUACUGGAGUUGGAGUGCUCUCCAUGUAAGUCUAUUUCACAGCAGCCUCUUCAGCUGUUUGUUUUUUUAACACUUCAGAGACUCUCCAGGGGGUUAAAAACCGGGUCUUUCCCUUGUCUCUUUCUCUCCAAACAGGGCCCACUGAAUCCGGAGAGCUGGAAGUGGAGAGAUUCGCUGGUCCAGCUGAGCCUGCGCUCUCAGAAGCAGCUGAUGAACCCCAGCAAGAUUUCAGCUGUCCGAUAUAACUUAGACCUGAGUGUCAGUGACAAUUCACACUUCUGGAUUACGAUGGAGUCAUUUACACCUCGUGGCACCAAGCCCGGCAGCAGAAAUGCUUGGAGCAUCAGGCUGCCCUGUGAGGUUCCUGAGCUCUCCUUCCCGGACGGACAAACGCCACCGCCCCGGGCACAGACACGCUCCCCACUCCGGCUGUGGAGGGAAACGUGAGGCUUUUGUGGCAGACACACAGCAGAUCGUGUUUGGGCUCUGCAAUACUGCCUCUCUGGGAGCAGGCACAGCAGAGCCUGCUGCACCGAGCUGUGCCUCUGCUGAGGCCAUUUCUGCCCCACAAACAUCUCCCACACGUUCUGACUUGGCACGGGCUUGGCUCACUCAAGUAUCACUUAACAACCUGAAACUGUAAACUGUAAGUGCUUUUAUACAGCAAGGCUCUCGCUGCUUAAUGUGCAGUAGCUGUACGGUGUGUCUAUGAAACACACACUCGAGUCAUGAACGUGCUUUUCCUGCCCUCAUAAAACAUCCACAGAGACUUACAUCCCCCGAGGAAUUUUGGAACUCACACAGAUACAGUAGUGACAUUACUCCUCAGUGUACAUUUCCCUUGGUUCUUUGGCUGAUUCUCAAGUUGAAGUUUUUCUGUAGGCAGGGGUUUGUAAAAGGUCCAGAUUCUACUCUUUUAUAUAGCAGGAAUCUUACAUUGUGCCUUUAAAGCUUUGUCAUGAUGGCUCCUGGUAUGUUCCCAGUUAAAUCUGCAGUAAAACUCUCCCUACAUUCAGGCAGGGCAGGAUUAGGCCUUACAUUUAAGAUUCCAGACAUGAUAGAGUCUCACUAAUACAAGUACUUAAUCCUCAUUUCAAUUUAUAUUUCAAUAUUCAUGCUGGCAUCUAGAGGUGUCUAUUCAAUGUUGAUAAAAUAAGUAAGGCAUGUGUCUGGAUCCAUUGCCACUGUUUUGCAGUGGUGCCUAUAAAAUCAGCCCAGAGAAAUCCACUGCACAUCUCCUCCUUUCCUGGCCUACCACUGCUCCUACUGGAAUUGGCCAAUUUCUGUACUGCCAGUCGUGUGUUACAAUAAAAGCCACGAGGAUUUACA